CCAGGCUUGAACUGCAGAUGACAUCCUACGAAAGUAGGCUUCCGCAAGGACAUCUGUAGAGGUGCUGCAUGGCUGUCGUCAGCUCGUGUCGUGAGAUGUUGGGUUAAAGUCCCGCAACGAGCGCAACCCUUGUCUUCUGUUGCCAUCGGGUUAUGCCGGGCACUCUGAAGAGACUGCCGGUGACAAACCGGAGGAAGGUGGGGAUGACGUCAAGUCAGCAUGGCCUUUAUGUCUGGGGCCACACACGUGCUACAAUGGCCGGUACAAACCGUCGCGAUCUCGCGAGAGGGAGCUAAUCGGAGAAAGCCGGUCUCAGUUCGGAUUGUAGGCUGCAACUCGCCUGCAUGAAGUUGGAAUCGCUAGUAAUCGCGGAUCAGCACGCCGCGGUGAAUACGUUCCCGGGCCUUGUACACACCGCCCGUCACAUCACGAAAGCCGGCUGUACUAGAAGUCGCUGCGCUAACCCGCAAGGGGGGCAAGCGCCUAAGGUAUGGUCGGUGAUUGGGGUG
rnacentral:rRNA from 1 species